GGGGUUCUAGCUCAUCGGUAGAGCGCUCGCUUAGCAUCGCUGGGAUCGACUUGCGAGAGGUACUGGGUUCGACUCCUAGGUACUCCA
rfam:Puccinia sorghi strain RO10H11247 Scaffold_188, whole genome shotgun sequence.